rnacentral:sRNA from 1 species
GUUCCAUCGCAGCAAAGCAGGGGCCAGGAGGCCACAGUCAUGUUUUUCGAUAACGUGGUGUUUGCCGGGGUUCUGACCGUAGGACUCAUGGUUCUGUUUUUUGCAGGGUUUGGAUUUUUUAUCUGGAAAGAUGCGAAUAAGCGCAAGAAGUAGGUCUUUCUGGGUUUGAUGAGCACGCAAGGCAUUUUGGGCAACUUCGGUUGCCCUUUUUUUUG